GACAGAGGUGCCGAGCGUUAGGCGGAAUUACUGGGCGUAAAGCGCACGUAGGCGGCUUUCUAAGUCGGGGGUGAAAUCCUGGAGCUCAACUCCAGAACUGCCUUCGAUACUGGAGAGCUCGAGUCCGGGAGAGGUGAGUGGAACUGCGAGUGUAGAGGUGAAAUUCGUAGAUAUUCGCAAGAACACCAGUGGCGAAGGCGGCUCACUGGCCCGGAACUGACGCUGAGACGCGAAAGCGUGGGGAGCAAACAGG
rnacentral:rRNA from 1 species